rnacentral:rRNA from 1 species
GGUGAACGCUGGCGGCGUGCUUAAGACAUGCAAGUCGAACGGGCUCUUCGGAGCCAGUGGCGCACGGGUGAGUAACGCGUAACUGACCUACCCCAAAGUCGCGGAUAACGAUUCGAAAGAAUCGCUAAUACGUGAUGUGCUGUCAGAUCCUGUUCUGCCAGUAAAGCUUUAUUGCUUUGGGAUGGGGUUGCGUUCCAUCAGCUAGUUGGUGGGGUAAAGGCCCACUAAGGCGACGACGGAUCGCCGGCCUGAGAGGGUGGCCGGCCACAGGGGCACUGAGACACGGGUCCCACUCCUACGGGAGGCAGCAGUUAGGAAUCUUCCACAAUGGGCGAAAGCCUGAUGGAGCGACGCCGCGUGAGGGAUGAAGGUCUUCGGAUCGUAAACCUCUGAAUCAGGGACGAAAGACGCGAAAGCGGGAUGACGGUACCUGAGUAAUAGCACCGGCUAACUCCGUG